rnacentral:lncRNA from 1 species
UUUUUUUUUUUUUUUUUUUUGAGACAGGGCUUUGCUCUGUUACCCGUGUUGCCCAGGCUGCAGUGCAGUGGCACAACCAUAGCUCACUGCAGCCUCGACCUCCUGGGCUCAAGGGAUACUCCUGUUUUAGCCUGUAGCUGGGACUACAGGCACAUGACACAGGUAAUUUUUUAAUAUUAAUUUUUGUAGACAUGUGGAGAUGGGAUCUGGCUAUGUUGCCCAGGCUGGUCUUGAACUCCUAGCCUCCAGUGACCCUCCCACCUCAGCCUCCCAAAGUGCUGGAAUUAUAGGUAUGAGCCUCCACCCCCAAUCCCCAGUGUCCCUUUUCAGCCUAAUUCAGAGAUAUAAACCCUUUCCUGAAUUUCAAUACCCUAAAAUAAGAAAUUUUGAUCUUAUAACCUUCUUAGUAAGAAAACCAGUACACAACAAGGAUUUAAACCAGAGAGAAUAGAGAACCAGCAUCUAUAGAGCCUCUGUGUUAUGCAUUUGAAAAACAUCAUUUAAUCUCCGUAACUCCCUGCACAGUAAGUAUUUUUAUCCUCUUUUGCAGACUAGAAACAGAGGCUCAGAGAAGUUCUAUGACAGCUAGCAAGGAGUGGAGGUAAGCUUUGGGCUGUCAGGCCACGCUUGCCCAAAGUUACACAGCUAGCGGAUGGCAGAGCCAGAAAACGAGAAGGAUCCACAGUCAGAAGCGUGUACUCUCUCCCCACUACUGGAUGCCACAGCUUUCCUUGGAGGAGGAGAUGGUGGAGGGCCAGCCAGCAGGGUUCGAGUCCAUGGUCCAGGCCUAGAGCUAGCAGUCAUUCAUACACCACUCACCCCUCCGCUGCUUGGCUGGUAAUCACGUAGAGGCCUCCUCAGCCCAGCCUGCAUUUUCUGCUUAGUUUGCAGUUUGCCAGGCAGCUCCUACGGUAAAACAGUGGUCUAGAGGCCUUGCCUCUCCUCGUGAGCCCAGGUUUCCGUGGGAGAUGAAGCUGCAGCCUUAGCUUCCAGCUAUGAGGCAGGACAAUGCACUUUCAAGGGCUGCUGACUCAGGAGCAGCUCCAAGGGUGAGGUCUGGCUGAGGGGCAUGUGUUUGUAUAGGAGCUUGAAGUGCAUAACAGUACUGCUGUGCUAAUACUAGAGGGUUAACAGUAGUCAACAGUCUACACAAUGUAAGGACACAGGGUUCUUACGGACACAAGGAUUGGUCUAGGAAUUCCAGCAAAAUAGCAAAGGCCAGAUGGACAUAAAGAAAAGCUCCCUAGCUGCCAUACUUCUGCAGAACACAUCCAUGAACACAUCCAUGUGGGAUGGGGCCAGUCCUGCGAACAUUCUGCCAACACGCUCUCCUCCCCCAGGUAAAGGCCACAGGGAGGGUUCUCAGGUACAAUCCUCUGCCUCCCAUUUGGGCAUCAGCAAC